ensembl:lncRNA
AUGUGUGUUAUAGAUGGAUCUGAGAACGCUGUCUGGGCUUGGUGCCAAGGGCUGGUAUUUCACAGCAGCGACCGCCUCACAGACGAGCUGUGGGAAGCAGGAGGGAGACUCUCUCUUAGGGUGCCACUACUAUGGAGACACAGCUGGGCUGAACAAGAUUUGCUUCAAACGACAACAAGAGAGACAGAAAGUAUCUGGUUCAACCGCUGCCCGAGCAGGCAGGCACCAGAAGAGCUAGCAGCCAAUCCGGCCAUGCUCGAAGCCAGCUCUGCAGCUCAGCCAAUCAGUGACAUCACUGAGGACUGUUUUUCUUCAAUCCUUAAGGAUUCAGCUUCUUACAUGGGUUUUGCCGGAGGUCAUGGGGAAGUACCAAGAGGUCUAAAUCAUGGUGGGUGUGUUCAGUACUUCACGAAAUCCAUUCCCAACUAACUUGCUAUGAAUGGCACAACUCAGGCAUUAACGUAGCUUCACAUAUACCUUGGGAAGCACACAGGAGUUGAAGACACUCCCCUAGGAAAUGUCUGAUAGCUGCAGCCUCUACUGUUUUGAAUGAUGAACUUCUUAGAAGCCUUGUCCUUGGGUAUACAUAUUGCGCAGUGUCUGCAGCAAAUAGGCUGCUUGUGGCUGUACCUCUUUUGGGCAUGACUUGGUUCCUUCUUUUCUUUGUCAUCUUGAAAGCAAGAACCUGAGACUAAUUUCGUAUUUUUUUUUUUAUAAAUUACAUAAAACACCUUUAUUAUUGUUUUACAAAGUCAAUGUUUAAUUACAUUUAUCCACAUUUCCAUCCCCCUUUAUUUUCUUUUUCUUUUUUUUUCCUUUUGAACUUUUAUUUUAGAUUCAGGGAGUGCCUAUGCAGAUUAGUCACAUGGGUAAGGAACAUAGUCCUGAUGGGUAGUUUUUUAAAAAUUCUCACCUUCAUCCCUUUUCUUGUGCUCCCUUUCUCUUUGCCUCUCUUGAGCUUCUGUUUGGGCCUCGGGAUUACAUUCAUCCUUGGUACUGGUGGGGCACUGGUUCCAGGAACACCACUCCCCUCUCCCCCACGUGGAUACUCAAAUCCCAGAAUAAUCAAAUCCUGUAGCUGAGGAACCCUGGAAUAUCAAUAAGAGGAACAACUCUGUUUGUUGCAAAAAAAUCUGCCUGUAAGUGGACCGCACAGUUCAAACGUCUGCUGUUCAAGAGUCAGCUGUAUUUUUCUUAUGCUUGAAGUCUGUCAUUCAGAAUUUCCUUUAAUAGAGGUUUUAUGGUUGUAAAGUCUCUUGGUUUUUGUUUCUUUGAAAAUGUCUCUUGUACCUUCAUUCUCAAAAGACUUUUUCAUUAGAUAUUUUAUAAAAUAAUCAAUAGAAAAUUUUUUUUUGUUUUAGUACGUUGUAAAAACCCUUCCAAAUGUCUUCUGGAUUCCAGUAAAUAAGUCAGCCAUUAAUCUUUGGAAAGCAAUUUGUCUUUUAUUUAUGCCUCUCUUUCCUCUCUCCAUGUGUAUAUAAUUUAUAAAUAGAUAUAUCUAUUUAUACACAUAAAUAGAAACAUAUAAAUAGAUAUAUCUUUAAGAUUUCCUCUUUGUAGUUUUCUGAAUUUUACUAUGAUUUGUCAGCUUUUUAUUUGCUUGGGUUUCAUUAGGUUUUUGAAUUUGUGGAUUGAUAUAUUUUUUAAUUCUGGAGAAUUCUCAGUCACUUCUACUUAAAUAU